AGAGUUCGAUUAUGGCUCAGGAUUAACGCUAGCGGCAGGCCUAAUACAUGCAAGUCGAGGGGCAUCAAGUCCGUUUACGGACGUUGGCGACCGGCGCACGGGUGCGUAACGCGUAUGCAAUCUGCCUUGUACUGGAGCAUAGCCCUCGGAAACGAAGAUUAAUACUCCACACAGUCUUACUAGCGCAUGCUAGUAAAAUGAAAGCUCCGGCGGUACAAGAUGAGCAUGCAUCCCAUUAGCUUGUUGGUGAGAUAACAGCUCACCAAGGCUACGAUGGGUAGGGGUUCUGAAGAGGAAAGAUCCCCCACAACUUGGCACUUGAGAAUACGGGCCAGACUCCUACGGGAGGCAGCAGUAGGGAUAUAUUGGUCAAUGGGCGCAAGCCUGAUACCAGCCAUUGCCGCGUGCAGAAUGAAGGCCUUCAGGGUUGUAAACUGCUUUUGUUAUGGGAAUGAAAAAGUCCUUGCGAGGACUCCUUGAAGGUACCAUAAGAAUUAAGCACCGGCUAACUCCGUGCCAGCAGCCGCGGUAAUACGGAGGGUGCAAGCGUUAUCCGGGAUUUACUGGGUUUAAAGAGUGCGUAGGCGGCUUUCUUAAGUCAGUGGUGAAAGCUUAGCGCUUAACGCUAGAAGUGCCACUGAUACUGGGAAGCUUGAGUCAAGAAGAGGUAAGCAGAAUUCAUAGUGUAGCAGUGAAAUGCUUAGAUACUAUGAGGAAUACCAACAGCGAAGGCAGCUUACUGGUCUUGUACUGACGUUGAGGUACGAAAGCGUGGGUAGCGAACAGGAUUAGAUGCCCUGGUAGUCCACGCCGUAAACGAUGAUCACUCGAUGUACACGCUAGUCGUGUGUGUCUAAGCAAAAGCAUUAAGUGAUCCACCUGGGGGAGUACGCUCGCAAGAGUGAAACUCAAAGGGAAUUGACGGGAGUCCGCACAAGCCGGUGGGAGCAUGUGGUUUAAUUCGAUAAUACGGCGAGGAAACCUUACCUGGGCUUCGAAUGUCUCUGCUACCUCGAGAAAUCGAGGGUUUCCUUUCGGGAAAGAGUACAAGGUGCUGCAUGGCUGUCGUCAGCUCGUGUUCGUGAGAUGUUUGGGGUUAAGGUCCUAUAACGAGCGCCAACCCCUUUACUUAGUUGCCUGCACAUUCAUGGUGGGAACUCCUAAGUAGACUGACUGCGUAAGGUAGGAGGAAGGAGGGGACGAGGUCAAGGUUCAUCUCACUAGGACCCCUAACGUCCAGGGCUACACACGAUGCUACAAUGGCGUGUACAGAAGGACGCUACUUGGUAACAAGCGGCAAAUCCUCAAAGCACGUCUCAGUUCGGAUUGAGGUCUGCAACUCGACCUCAUGAAGCUGGAAUCGCUAGUAAUCGCGCAUCAGCAAUGGCGCGGUGAAUACGUUCCCGGACUUUGUACACACCGCCCGUCAAGCCAUGGGAGUUGGUAGGACCUAAAGACAGUGGCCAAUUAAGGAGCUGUUAAGGGUUAGAUCAGCGACUGGGGCUAAGUCGUAACAAGGUAACC
rnacentral:rRNA from 1 species